UACGUAGGUGGCGAGCGUUGUCCGGAUUUACUGGGCGUAAAGAGCGCGCAGGCGGCUGGUCAAGUCCGAUGUGAAAGCUCCCGGCUUAACUGGGAAAUUGCAUCGGAAACUGAUCGGCUGGAAGGUGGGAGAGGGUAGCGGAAUUCCCGGUGUAGUGGUGAAGUGCGUAGAUAUCGGGAGGAACACCAGUGGCGAAAGCGGCUACCUGGCCCAUUCUUGACGCUGAGGCGCGAAAGCUAGGGGAGCAAACGGG
rnacentral:rRNA from 1 species